GUGCCUUCAUAAUUUCUUCUUCUUUGGUAUUUCAAGUUCUUACUUUUUUUUUUUUACCACAUAAUUCUAAAAUAUGUCAUUUUUUUUCAGUUGCGACCCAGAUUUUUAAAUUGUGAAUUCUAACCCUUCAAUGUGUUGUUUGGUCUGUAACUUGCUGCUCACCGCCGACUCGUCGUUGAAGCAUCGCCUCCGCAUCACUCCACCGUGCUCAGCUCUACCGUAACGGCUAGCUCCUACCUACCGUAAUGGCAAAUCACAUACGCAUCACUCUUGCCUCAUUCAUCGUCGAAUAAUCACCGCAAAACGCUACAGCCCUUAGAUCCACCUUCAUUGCCGUUUGGAGUCCUUGUGGCUCGUCCUCUCCUUCGAGUUUUAAUCUUUUUUUUUCUUCAGAUUUUCGAAGUUGCAAAAACAACUUUUUGAUUUCAUCUCCAAAUUUCUAGUGUUCAUUUUUAUCUCGUGACAGAGUGAAAACUAGAGAGCUACAAUUGUUAAGUUUCUGUUUUUUGCUCGCUUCGCCCUUAAAGUAUGU
rnacentral:lncRNA from 1 species